GCGGAAGGAUCAUUAUUGAAUUCAUUGACAGUCUCGGGAUAUAUUAUAUAAUAAGGGGGGUUGUAGCUGGCCCAUCCCAAAUAGGUAUGUGCACACCCUUGAACCCCCCCGGGAUUGUCUACAAUGUUUUACACACCAUGUGCACAUCUGUAGCUGAGGGAUGAUUUUUACGGAGUUGCCAUUAAUUUUGGUGACUCUGAAUGCCCUCGCUAUGUUCAUAUAUAUUAUAUACACAUAUAAAUGUCAUUUGGAAUGUUUUGUGUCUAGCGUGUAACAGCGCGCGAAUGCAAUACAACUUUCAGCAACGGAUCUCUUGGCUCUCGCAUCGAUGAAGAACGCAGCGAAAUGCGAUAAGUAAUGUGAAUUGCAGAAUUCAGUGAAUCAUCGAAUCUUUGAACGCACCUUGCGCUCCUUGGUAUUCCGAGGAGCAUGCCUGUUUGAGUGUCAUGAAAUUCUCAACUGCUUUGGAUUUUGUUUCAAAGUGAAGUUGGAUUUGGAGUUGCUUAUUGUCGGCAUUGUUCGACUGCUCCUAAAAGCAUUUAAAGCCUGUGUUCUGAUAGAUUCUUGGCAUAGUUGACGUGAUAACUGCUACGUCGCACAAGCCUGGAGGAGGAACAGCUUAAUACUAUUAUAACACACUUGGAUCUUUUUUUCUUGAUUGUAUGUUGUGUUUCAUUGACCCAUUUGGCCUCAAAUCAGGCAGGACUACCCGCUGAACUUAAGCAUAUCAAUAAGCGGAGGAA
rnacentral:rRNA from 1 species